rnacentral:rRNA from 1 species
UACAGAGGUCCCAAGCGUUGUUCGGAUUUACUGGGCGUAAAGGGUGCGUAGGCGGUCGGGUAAGUCUGAUGUGAAAUCUCUGGGCUCAACCCAGAACUGCCUUCGAUACUGAGAGUCUUGAGUCCGGGAGAGGUGAGUGGAACUGCGAGUGUAGAGGUGAAAUUCGUAGAUAUUCGCAAGAACACCAGUGGCGAAGGCGGCUCACUGGCCCGGUACUGACGCUGAGGUGCGAAAGCGUGGGGAGCGAACAGG